UACGUAGGGUGCGAGCGUUAAUCGGAAUUACUGGGCGUAAAGCGUGCGCAGGCGGUUUUGUAAGCCAGAUGUGAAAGCCCCGGGCUCAACCUGGGAAUGGCAUUUGGGACUGCAAGGCUUGAGUGCGGCAGAGGAGACUGGAAUUCCUGGUGUAGCAGUGAAAUGCGUAGAUAUCAGGAGGAAUACCGAUGGCGAAGGCGGAUCUCUGGGCCUUACCUGACGCUCAGGUGCGAAAGCUAGGGGAGCGAACAGG
rnacentral:rRNA from 1 species